AGUGAACGCUGGCGGUAGGCCUAACACAUGCAAGUCGAACGGCAGCACAGUAAGAGCUUGCUCUUACGGGUGUCGAGUGGCGGACGGGUGAGGAAUACAUCGGAAUCUACUUUUUCGUGGGGGAUAACGUAGGGAAACUUACUCUAAUACCGCAUACGACGUACGGGGGUAAGCACGGGAUCUUCUGACCUUGCGCGAUGGUAUGAGCCUAUGUCGGAUUAGCUAGAUGGCGGGGUAAAGGCCCACCCAGGCGACGAUGCGUAGCUGGUCUGUGAGGGUGAUUCGCCACCUUGGAACUGAGACACGGUCCCGACUCCGACGGGAGGCAGCAGUGGGGAAUAUUGGGCAAUGGGGGAAAGCCUGAUCCAGCAAUACCGCGUGGGUGAAGAAGGACUUCGGCUUGGAAAGCGCUGUUGUUGGGAAAGAAAAGCAGCAGGUUAAUACCCCGCUGUUCUGACGGUACCCAAAGAAUAAGCACCGGCUAACUUCGUG
rnacentral:rRNA from 1 species